AGGCAUUCUGGGAAGCCGAGCAGGGGGCAGGAAGCAUUGCUGGAGCCCCACUGGGGCCAAUGGUGACUCUGCCACAUGCUCUGAGCAAACCAACCAACGAACGAACAUGUCACAGCUAGAAUCGAGAGGGGUUUGGGGGAGACUGGCAGUGGGGACCCUCUCACACCUGGGGACCAGCGGUCUAGUCCUCAGGAGGGACUGAAUAAAGCAUGGAAGAACUGGGUGGUUCACGAAGGCAGGCCCGUUGCUGGCUGAAACCAGGACAUUGCUUUAAAAGUAACUUCAAUGGGGACAAAUCUCCAGACAGGCCUGCCUGUCUCCUAACACGCUGAAUAUAGCCAAGACACUGGAGAGCAGAGGUCCAGUUUCACUUCUGAAUAAGGAAGGAAAGCUCUUAAUCUUCUGGAGAGGAUGCCAGG